rnacentral:rRNA from 1 species
UACGUAGGGUGCAAGCGUUGUCCGGAAUUAUUGGGCGUAAAGAGCUCGUAGGCGGUCUGUCACGUCGGCUGUGAAAACCCGAGGCUCAACCUCGGGCCUGCAGUCGAUACGGGCAAACUAGAGUGCGGUAGGGGAGACUGGAAUUCCUGGUGUAGCGGUGAAAUGCGCAGAUAUCAGGAGGAACACCGGUGGCGAAGGCGGGUCUCUGGGCCGUAACUGACGCUGAGGAGCGAAAGCGUGGGGAGCGAACAGG